GACGAACGCUGGCGGCGUGCUUAACACAUGCAAGUCGAACGGAAAGGCCCUGCUUUUGUGGGGUGCUCGAGUGGCGAACGGGUGAGUAACACGUGAGUAACCUGCCCUUGACUUUGGGAUAACUUCAGGAAACUGGGGCUAAUACCGGAUAGGAGCACCUGCUGCAUGGUGGGGGUUGGAAAGUUUCGGCGGUUGGGGAUGGACUCGCGGCUUAUCAGCUUGUUGGUGGGGUAGUGGCUUACCAAGGCUUUGACGGGUAGCCGGCCUGAGAGGGUGACCGGCCACAUGGGGACUGAGAGACGGCCCAGACUCCUACGGGAGGCAGCAGUGGGGAAUAUUGCACAAUGGGCGGAAGCCUGAUGCAGCAACGCCGCGUGCGGGAUGACGGCCUUCGGGUUGUAAACCGCUUUCGCCUGUGACGAAGCGUGAGUGGCGGUAAUGGGUAAAGAAGCACCGGCUAACUACGUG
rnacentral:rRNA from 1 species